UGCCCAGCAACUCCUAUCCCUACCUCCUCGCGGUACCGGCCGGAAACUAAAGGGUGAG
rnacentral:ribozyme from 1 species